rnacentral:rRNA from 1 species
UAGCUAAUCCUGGUCGGACAUCAGGAGGUUAGUGCAAUGGCAUAAGCUAGCUUGACUGCGAGCGUGACGGCGCGAGCAGGUGCGAAAGCAGGUCAUAGUGAUCCGGUGGUUCUGAAUGGAAGGGCCAUCGCUCAACGGAUAAAAGGUACUCCGGGGAUAACAGGCUGAUACCGCCCAAGAGUUCAUAUCGACGGCGGUGUUUGGCACCUCGAUGUCGGCUCAUCACAUCCUGGGGCUGAAGUAGGUCCCAAGGGUAUGGCUGUUCGCCAUUUAAAGUGGUACGCGAGCUGGGUUUAGAACGUCGUGAGACAGUUCGGUCCCUAUCUGCCGUGGGCGCUGGAGAAUUGAGGGGGGCUGCUCCUAGUACGAGAGGACCGGAGUGGACGCAUCACUGGUGUUCGGGUUGUCAUGCCAAUGGCACUGCCCGG